rnacentral:tRNA from 2 species
UGGUGUGGCUCAGUGGUAGAGCAAUUGAUUCGUAAUCAAUAGGUCGGCGGUUCAAAUCCGCCCAUCA